UCCUCCUUUCAAAGUUUAAAGAAUAAUUGCCAUCCAAAUCCGUCCAAUUUAAUCUGCUAAACUGAUUCUCAUUGUCCCACAUCUUUUCCCAAGUUUUGGUUAAAUUCAAUGUCAAUAUUCCCCAUGGAACUGGAUUUUCAGCUGACUUUGGAAUGGGAAGGCAGGCCGUUAUUGAGGUUAAAUUUUGUACCUUCGCAAAACCUUGAAUCAAUUGCAAAACUAGAUUGUCUUUUAUCA